UUCUAUGGCCAUACCAGUCUGAAAGUGCCUGAUCUCGUCAGAUCUCAGAAGCCAUCCAGACUGGUUAGUACUUGUAUGGGAGACCAACUAGGAACCCCAGGUGCCGUAGCUC